rnacentral:rRNA from 1 species
GACGAACGCUGGCGGCGUGCUUAACACAUGCAAGUCGAACGGAAAGGCCCUGCUUUUGUGGGGUGCUCGAGUGGCGAACGGGUGAGUAACACGUGAGUAACCUGCCCUUGACUUUGGGAUAACUUCAGGAAACUGGUGCUAAUACCGGAUAGGAGCUCCUGCUGCAUGGUGGGGGUUGGAAAGUUUCGGCGGUUGGGGAUGGACUCGCGGCUUAUCAGCUUGUUGGUGGGGUAGUGGCUUACCAAGGCUUUGACGGGUAGCCGGCCUGAGAGGGUGACCGGCAAAAUUGGGACUGAGAUACGGACCAGACUCCAACGGGAGGCAGCAGUGGGGAAUAUUGCACAAUGGGCGGAAGCCUGAUGCAGCAACGCCGCGUGCGGGAUGACGGCCUUCGGGUUGUAAACCGCUUUCGCCUGUGACGAAGCGUGAGUGACGGUAAUGGGUAAAGAAGCACCGGCUAACUACGUG